rnacentral:rRNA from 1 species
GUCUCAGGCCGUAUCAGCCUGAAGGCGCCCGAUCUCGUCUGAUCUCGGAAGCUAAGCAGGGUCGGGCCCGGUUUAGGAUCUUGGAUGGGAGACCACCUGGGAAUCCCGGGUGCUCGAGGCU